GCCUGCCUAGCUCAAUCGGAUAGAGCGUCAGACUCUUAUGAGUGUUUGGGCAUCUGAAGGCUGCGAGUUCGACCCUCGCGGUGGGCU
rfam:Laetiporus sulphureus 93-53 unplaced genomic scaffold LAESTscaffold_21, whole genome shotgun sequence.